UGUCAGAGUCAGCGAGUGGCUGCUG
rnacentral:piRNA from 1 species